rnacentral:RNase_P_RNA from 1 species
GCAGAUGGCUGGAUGGCUGCUGCCGGCGUGCCGGUGGAGGAAAGUCCGGGCUUCACAGGAUCAGGAUGCUGGAUAACGUCCAGCGGGGGCGACCCUAGAGAAAGUGCCACAGAAAACAAACCGCAUGCCGCCUUUAGGGGCUGUUAUGUAAGGGUGAAAAGGUGCGGUAAGAGCGCACCGCAGAUCUGGUAACAGAACUGGCAGGGUAAACCUCAUCCGAAGCAAGACCACAUAGGGGCAUAGCUGUUUAAUCAGCGCUGGCGGUCCUGCCAGAGAUGCCCGGGUCGGUCGCAUGAGGCAUCUGGUAACAGAUGUCCCAGAUGAAUAGUCAUCCAGCGUGGCUUAUGCCAUGCGGACAGAACCCGGCUUAUAGGCCAUCUGUUCCU